AGGACGAACGCUGGCGGCGUGCUUAACACAUGCAAGUCGAGCGGUAAGGCCUUUCGGGGUACACGAGCGGCGAACGGGUGAGUAACACGUGGGUGAUCUGCCCUGCACUUCGGGAUAAGCCUGGGAAACUGGGUCUAAUACCGGAUAUGACCUCCUAUCGCACGGUGGGUGGUGGAAAGAUUUAUCGGUGCAGGAUGGGCCCGCGGCCUAUCAGCUUGUUGGUGGGUAAUGGCCUACCAAGGCGACGACGGGUAGCCGACCUGAGAGGGUGACCGGCCAACGA
rnacentral:rRNA from 1 species